rnacentral:lncRNA from 1 species
AGAAUCAUUAAGUUCUAUGAAAAUCAUAAGCAUUGGCGAAGCACUCGUUACUAUGAAUUGCAUGAAACUCAUGCCAAGAAUUUACUUAACACGAUUGUGAUCAACAACCUUUACUACUUUUGAAUAUAAGUUCAUAACAAUUAGGUGAAAUUCCCUUAUAUCCUCGCAUCAAACUUAUGCAUGAAAAUUAAGCGUGCACUCUCAACCAACACACACAAAUCAGUUUUAAUUCAUGUAGAUAAGUAAAUUGAAUUCACAACUUAUGAAACGCAAUUGAAAGUAAUCAAAUCAUAUAGCAAGCAUAAACAUGGUUUCGAAUUCCCCCUAGCCAAGGGGGGUUUAGUUCCUCAUACUCACAAAGCAAAGAUACAUAAAUUUAGACAUUAAAAUCCAAAGAAAGAAAACACCUAGAUGAUCCAACUUGGAAAGCAGGUGCAUCCACAAGUCUUCUUUCCUCCUUGCUGCGGCACUUGGUCUAAAGUCAGGUUCUAGGGUGGUAUUUGUAUGGGAGAAUGGGUAGGGAAUGGUAUGGAAGGGUUUAGGAUUGAUGGGGGGUACGACUAGGGUAAAAAGAAUCAGAAAAAUAUGGAAGAAUGGUGAAGGAAGGCUGCGGCAAAGAGAGGGAAUGAUUUCUGGCGAAAAUUCUGAAUAUGGAGGGGUGGUUGAUGUGUUUUUGAUGUAGUGUAAUCUCUAGUGUUCUUCCCUUCACUCCCUAUUUAUAGAAGAUCCAAAGCAAAGAAUCACUCAAGUGGCUUCAAUAAACAAUACAAACAAAGACCAAAAUGAUGCAAAAACAGCUAGUUUACAUGCUCGUUUAUCAUUGUCUUGCCUUUAACAAAAGGCAAUCAUUCCUUUUUUGCUAAUUCAACUCCUUUGUAGCUGUCCAUGUACCUUCAUUCUUCAAUUUCGAUGCAUUUGCCUUGUAUUCCAUCCCUUUUCCACAUGUACUAGCUGUUAGACAACUUUCACACACAUGUUUU